GCGCCGCUAGCUCAAUGGGAGAGCAGUGCACUUUUAAUGCACGGGUUCAGGGUUCGAGCCCCUGGCGGCGUA
rnacentral:tRNA from 1 species